UCAGACAUGGUGUAGCGGUAACAUGGCCUCUUUAUAUACACAGUAUUUUCGUCUGCUGAGGCAGUCCUGGGUUCGAACCCCGGUGUCUGAA